UCCGCCGCGAGACGGAAUCUGAAGGAAGCCGGUGGCAAACAUCUGGUCUGACGGACAGAAAUCCGAUAAAAGGCCUAAGGGUGAGGAUAAGAUUGCAAAAGAAACCGAAGUCCGAUAACUAUUCGAAAUCGCCCAAGGUAAAUCGGGCAGACAUAAGAUGGAAAGAGUAUGUC
rfam:Bacteroides sp. CAG:545 genomic scaffold, scf207